CCGAAUGAGUCGAGCACUUCUGGCGGCUGGCAGCGCUUUGCUCGGGACUUGCUCGUUUAUUUGCACGCAUGUCGUCGACCAGGACGAAUCGUUUGGCAGAACGCGGCUGAAAAAAGGAUUCGGAAACGGGGCUGUAACGGUAAUAGCGGCAUACGCGUCCAACUGUAAACACGCGUGCAAACGCGCCAUCUCGCUCGCACGCGCUAAUGCCGCGAUUUAAGUUUUGAAGUUUUGUUUUAUUUUUUGCAAGUGUUCCAACAACAAAUAACCAAUAAAAAGCCUAACAAAACACAAACCCGAAACAGUUCUCAAUAAAUAGUUUACAGUCUGCGGUUGAUAAAGACUUUGAUUGAAAGUUAAAGCGUGCGCUAAAUAAUAACGUCUUCGACUUCACUGAAUGGGAAAUCCGAUGUUUUGUUAAUUUUUUUUUUCGGUUACUGUGCUAGUCAUCAUAAGUCAGAAAUUUGAAAUUCGAAUAUAAAAAUAUUUGCGGCGAUAGGCCAGCGGAAGCGGAUAAACAACAGAGAAGCGGCGGCAUCUGGAAAAUAAUAAAACUCAAAGGUUUGAGGUGAGUUCAGUUCCCUUUUUGAGUGUUCAAAUCGAGUGAAAGAGCGGCGGCUGCGCACUUUUUAUCGCGGGCUUUUCGCACAAGGGGGGUUUUUCCCGUCGACAAAAAACUGUCAAAAGAGCAAAAAGGCGGAAAAGAGACGAAACAACAACAAAUGCAGCGGAACAGGGAAAAAUGAAAAGGAAAAUAGAAAACGACAACAAAAAGGCAGCCCAAACAACAACAAAUGUAACGCGGAAAAGGCAGUUUUCUUUGGCCGCAGCAGCAGCAGCAGCAUGCGGAAAAAUCAUCCGCAAGCGCCGCAAAACAAAUAUGAUUUAAUAAACAACUAAACGCCGAUAGCAAUAACCAUGAGCAAUAUUACUAUUAAAUCUAUUUAAAUAAACCGUUAUAUUUUUGUUAAAACUACUUUUUUUUCGAGUGCUCAAAAGUGUGUGUGUGCAUAAAUAAUUUAAGGAAAGCCACAAGCUGUGAAGCAAAAAUGAAGACAUUAGGUGCCAACAAAUUAAAUGAAAAACCAAACAAGCUCGGCAAGCAAAUGAAUAAAGUGUCUGAAAACAAAAUAUAAAACGCUUCGGGCAACUAAAUAAAUAAAGUGUCGUUGUAAAUACAUAUGUUAAUGUAUAUAUAUAUAUAAAUCAAGCAAAAAUCGGAAUUUUCCUGCCCAAAUGAAUUGGCAAAACAACAUAAACAACAAAAUACCAUAGGCGGCAUUCUGCAGAGAGCAAGAAGCAGAGCAGAAUCCGAGGAGACAAAAGGUACGUUUAUACUUACGCUCGAACAUCGAAUUAGGUGUGACUAAACGUAUGUAACUAGGUGUACGCAUUUAUAUACAUAUAUCAUGGUUAUAUACACUCAAAACCCGAUCCAAACCCCCCAACGUCUCGUGUUUAACAAAUUGGCAUUAGUUUAAUUGGCAGUGAGCGGGUAACUACUUCGGUGGCUGUGUGGGUUGAUCCAGGGUGAAUCGAACGGUGGCAAAUUAUGGCUUAUAAAGUUCCAAAUGAAAUUAUAGCCAUUGAAUUAACUAAUUGCAUUUCCCGUGGUCCCCGAAAGGGGUUACCGCAUACACAUUCCGGACAUACAAGACAAACAGGACAAAUAGGACAUGCUGGACAUGCUGUACUCCCCAAAUUUCCCCCUUUCCGUUGGUUAAUCAAGUAUAAUCAAUGGCUGUGUCCCCUUCUUAGGGAUGAUUACAUUCCGUGGACUGCGGUCAAGAAAUUUGAGCACAUUUCUGCGUGCAUUACUUAACAUUUUGAUUAAUUAGCUGUAGUUCACUGUACGCAAAUUUGAAACAAAUCUCUAGAUUCUUUCAGAGGAAUAAAUAUUUUAGAAAUAAA